UACGGAGGGUGCGAGCGUUGUCCGGAAUCACUGGGCGUAAAGGGCGCGUAGGCGGCGCGGGCAGUCAACGGUGAAAGCUCGGGGCUCAACUCCGAGUCGGCCGUCGAUACUCCCGUGCUCGAGCACUGUAGAGGCAGGUGGAAUUCCGGGUGUAGCGGUGGAAUGCGUAGAGAUCCGGAAGAACACCGGUGGCGAAGGCGGCCUGCUGGGCAGUGAGCUGACGCUGAGGCGCGACAGCGUGGGGAGCAAACAGG
rnacentral:rRNA from 1 species